rnacentral:rRNA from 1 species
UGUGUAGGCGGUUGCUUAAGUUUGGUGUGAAAUCUCCCGGCUCAACUGGGAGGGUGCGCCGAAUACUGAGUGACUUCGAGUGCGGGAGAGGAAAGUGGAAUUCCUGGUGUAGCGGUGAAAUGCGUAGAUAUCAGGAGGAACACCGGUGGUGUAGACGGCUUUCUGGACCGUAACUGACGCUGAGACACGAAAGCGUGGGUAGCAAACAGGAUUAGAUACCCUGGUAGUCCACGCCCUAAACGAUGCAUAUUUGGUGUGGGUCAUUCAGUUGAUCCGUGCCGGAGCUAACGCGUUAAAUAUGCCGCCUGGGGAGUACAGUCGCAAGGCUGAA